rnacentral:rRNA from 1 species
CAAUAGCGUAUAUUAAAGUUGUUGCGGUUAAAAAGCUCGUAGUUGGAUUUCUGCCGAGGACGUCCGGUCCACCCUCUGGGUGUGUACAUGGCACGGCCUGGGCAUCUUCUUGGGGUACGUAUCUGCACUUGACUGUGUGGUGCGGAAUCCAGGACUUUUACUUUGAGGAAAUUAGAGUGUUUCAAGCAGGCACGCGCCUUGAAUACAUUAGCAUGGAAUAAUAAGAUAGGACCUCGGUUCUAUUUUGUUGGUUUCUAGAGCUGAGGUAAUGAUUAAUAGGGAUAGUUGGGGGCAUUCGUAUUUAACUGUCAGAGGUGAAAUUCUUGGAUUUGCUAAAGACGGACUACUGCGAAAGCAUUUGCCAAGGAUGUUUUCAUUGA